rnacentral:lncRNA from 1 species
CGGGCGGAUGUUUACGCCUUCACACUUCCGGCCGGCGGUCGGUCCGGGUCCGGGUUGUGUCGCGUGGCUGAGGGGCGGCUGCCGUGGGGGCUUCGCACCGCGGGUCGGCGGCUCUCGGAGUUCUGCAGCUCCCGCAGCGCGUCCCGUCCCGUCCGGUCCGGUCCCGUUCCGUCCGUCCGUCCGUCCGUCCGUCCCGCCGCGCUGAGAGCUUCGCGGAGCUGCGCCGGUGGCAGCGGGAGCGCUGUGACGUCAUCAGAACGCGCGAACUGCAAAAGCAUUGGAGAGAAGUUGGAUCGCAUCAAGGGUGCAUGUUUUUGGAUGCUGCUUCGGUAGGGAUGAGCAUAAGGAAGGAGAAGAAUACUUGGUGCCCUGCUUUACAACCUACAGUGAAGUACUGAAUGUGGAGGUUGGUGGUCCUGCCUGUGGUGGGGGGUUGGAACUUCAUGAUCCUUGGGGUCCCUUCCAACCCAACCAUUCUGUGGUUCUGUGAUUGUUCCCCUCUGAAUAACCCUUGUAUUUUGUGAGGUCUAUUAGUCUAACUCCCCUGAAGUGAUGCCCAACAAUGCCUUUCUUCUCCAAAUGCAUGAUGAGAAAGCGAAAUGAGCCCAGUGGUUACUGCUUGUGCAUAGUGAAUGUGCCCUGAAAUCCUUUCUUUUCAUGAUAAACUGUCCUCUGGAAUAAUGUCUCAGCACUGUGACAGUCCUGUCUCCAGCAUGCUGUGGAACCCUGCGUCUCUUCAAACCUGAGGUGCCUGUUUUCAUCAGCUUUUCUUUCCUUUCCUCUUCUGAGAGAGCACAGUGAGAUUCCCUGCACUGGGAGAACCAGCCAGGAUGCUGUCAGAAAGCCAAUCAGGCUUUGCGUCGCACAAAGGGACGUGAUGGUGAAGGACUCUUCUUAGCACCAAGGAAAUGAAAGUUUCUUGAGUCCUCUUCCUUAAAGUAUUAUAGAACGAAUUUUGAGUACUGCUUAUGAAAAUGGGCUUGAUAAUUUGAAGUUUAUUAAGACUGUGCUAAAAUCUUCCUCCGAAGCAAUGCUCUUGCUGCAUUGUCUCCCUUCUGUCUGAAGCUGAUGCAAGCAGCCUGCCACUGGAGCGCAGCCUGGCUGAAGGUCUGGGAAACAAGACAGAGGUUGAUAAGGCACCAAAGGAGAGGUACCUAUACUAAACAGGCACCUGGAUUUGAUGCACCGAUUUUCUGUUUCUGCUUUAGAUUUGUUCUUUCCUGUGGCUGUUCUCUUUGCAUGCUGCUGGAGGCCUUAACCCCCAGGACUGACGGCUUCCUUUCCUGUCCUGUUCUGAAAUGUGAACCUGAAGCUGACAUUUACACCUCCUCUGUGAUUUGUCCCAUUCUGCUUGGUAGUUAAGUCCCCAGAUCUCUGAAUGAAGGACUGGGAUUGCACUCAGUGUGAAGCAGAACAGGUAGUAGCUAGGUAUUACACCGGCCUUUCGUGAAAUAAGACUAUUUCCAUACAGCCUUAAAAAUUAACCUUCAAGGGUUAAAAAAAAUAAUCAUCACUUAUCCUCUUGCGUGCGUGCUGAAUCGCUCCUGACCACCGCUGUCAGGAAGCUGGCUCUAGGGGUGCAUUCAUUUUCUACUUCUUCCGUGAGCCAUCAUAAGACACAGAUGCUUGGGCAAAAGUAGAAUAAAAGCAUGCCAUGAGCAGAAGUUUGGGAUGCUGAUGCUGAGAUGCAGUCUGAGAAAGUAAUGAAACAGACCAACGUUUUGUACAGUAGCUGUGGGUCUAUGAAGGGGCUCUUGGGGAGGUGGGCUGCAAACUGGCUGAAGGAAAGAAGCCAGAGUUGUGGUCAGUGAGACAGUCUAGUUGGAGGCCUGUAUCUGGUGGAGUCCAUCAAGAGUCAGUACUAAGACCUGCACUAUUCCAUAUAUUCAUCAAUGACUUGGAUGAGGGAAUAAAGUGCAGUGUCAGGAGGUUUGCUGAUGACACAAAGCUGGGAGGAGUGGCUGAAUGCCAGAAGGCUGUGCUGCCAUCCAUAGAGACCUGGACAGGCUGGAGAGCUGGGCAGGGAGAAAUUGAAUGAAAUAGAACAAGGGCAAGUUUAGGGUGUUGCAGCUGGGCAAGAACAACCCCAGGUGCCAGGAUAGGUUGGGGACUGAGCUGUUGGAGAACAGCGUACGGGAAGGGGACCUGGGGGUCCUGGUGGACUGCAGGAGGACCAUGAGCCAGCACUGUGCCCUUGUAGCCAAGAAAGCCAAUGGCAUCCUGGGAUGUAUUGUAGGGGCUGUCGUUAGCAGGGCAAGAGAGGUUCUCCUCCACCUCUACUCUGCCCUGGUGAGACCACAUCUGGAGUACUGUGUCCAGUUCUGGGCCCCUCCAAUCCAAGGGUGGGGAACUGCUUGAGAGAGUCCAGAACAGAGACACAGAGGUGAGGAAGGGAAUGCAGCACCUCCCUUACAAGGAGAGGCUGAGGGAGCUGAGUCUCUUUAGAUUGGAGGAGGCUGAGGGUGACCUCAUUAAUGUUUAUAAAUAUGUAAGGGGUGAGUGUCAGGAGGAUGGAGCCAGGCUCUUCUCAGUGACAUCCAGUGAUAGGACAAGGGGCAAUGGGUGCAAACUGGAACACAGGAGGAUCCACAUAAAUACGAGAAGAAACUUCUUCAUGGUGAGAAACAGAACACUGGAAUGGGCUGCCCAGGAAGGUGGUGGGGUCUCCUUCUGUGGAGACAUUCAGAACAUGUUCCUGGGUGCCCUGAUCCAGGUGUUCCUGCUGACCAGGUGCUGCCAGCAGGGGGAUUGGACCGGGUGAUCUUCCAAGGUCCCUUCCAAGCCCUGACACUGUGAUUCUGUGAUUCGAGCUGUGUAAGAAGAGAUGGUGUGAUGGAGCUGAGAGCUCCAAUGCUGCGCAGAUUGUGCACUGUAGCCCUUCCGUGUCUCCUUGUUGACACAAGGAAAUAAACACAUGGAGGAAACAGAGGAACUCAUGGUUCUUCAUUUCUGCUGCUGACAAAAGGAAUGCCUUAUUUACUUGUUUUUAAGCACCUGGAAGAGAAGAGGGGAGUGCAAUUGAACAGGGCUUCUCCUGAAGACAUGCACUUCUUUUGAGCUCUCAUGGAUUUAAUCUAUCAGACAAGAAGGGUAUUGUGAAAUCCCCAGGAAGUGGUCUAACAGAACAGGCCAGAGCUUCAUGUUUGAGGAACUCAGACUGCCUGUAAAUGCUGCAGAGGGGAGCUGGGGUGACUUUCUGUUGCAUAACAAGAAUGCGGCUGAUGAGAGGCGGAGUGCAUUGCUGGGACAAUGCAGCUUUCCAUGUUGGAAAAGCAAAGUUUUGGAAAAGUGUUUCCAUGGCAAAAAAGUGCAUCUUCUCAUAGGCAAAUGUCAGUGAACCAAAUGGUGUUAACAUGCUUUUGGAAGGAUUAACCCUUUUGAAAGGAUUAUCCAUCAGACACUCUUAAUGAAAUCACCCUUGAUUUAUUUAUUCUUGUCCUAUUCUUACAUGUGUUUUGCUUCUUUCCAACCCUCUGAAGCAAAGAGCCAUGAGAUAAUGAGCAAGUUGUAAAAGACAGAUGGGGAAGAGGAGCUUCAGAAGGAUGUGGCAGCUGUGCCAUCAGCUGUUGAAGAAGCAGUCAAAGGUAAAACUCCAGAAACUUGAAGGCCUGAAUCCACCCUGGUUUCGGGGUCAGCCCAUCAGCUUGCCAGGAGGUUACUGGAGAAAUCUCAGGGGGUUUUCUUGAAAGUUCGGGAAAAAACUUAUAAAUCAAUGCUUCUAAAUAUCAAAAUGGUGAGGCAUCACAGCAUCACAGAAUGGUUGGGUUGGAAGGGACCCCAAGGAUCACGAAGCUCCAAACCCCCACCACACACAGGGCCACCAACCUCCACACUCAAUACCAGCCCAGGCUGCCCACGGCCCCAUCCAACCUGGCCUUCAACACCUCCACGGAUGGACGGGGCAUCCACAGCCUCUCUGGGCAGCUGUUCCAGCACCUCCCCACUCUCUCUGUCAAGAACUUCCCCCUCACAUCCAACCUCAACCUGCCCUCCUUCAGCUUAAACCAUUGCCCCCUGUCCUGCUCUUAUCUCCCCUCUCAAAGAGUUGCCUCCCCUCCUGUUUGGAGGCUCCCUUUAGGUCCUGGAAGGCUGCAAUGAGCUCACCCCGCAGCCUUCUCUUCUCCAGGCUCAACAAGCCCAGCUCCCUCAGCCUGUCUUUGUAGGGGAGGUGCUGCAGCCCUCUGAGCAUCUUUGUGGCCUCCUCUGGACCCUCUCC